rnacentral:rRNA from 1 species
GACAGAGGGGGCAAGCGUUGUCCGGAGUGACUGGGCGUACAGCGCGCGCAGGUGGCACGUGACGUGCCGUGUGACAACCACCCGCUCACCGGGUGGAGGCCAUGGUAGACGCACGGGCUCGAGGCAGAGAGAGGCAGGUGGAAUACCCGGUGGAGCGGUGAAAUGCGUAGAGAUCGGGUGGAACACCAGGGGCGAAGGCGGCCUGCUGGCUCUGAACUGACACUGAGGCGCGAAAGCGUGGGGAGCAAACGGG